GCAAUCAUACAAGCACUAAUGCACCGGAUUACAUCAGAACUCCAUAGUUAAGCGUGCUUGGGCGAGAGUUGUACUAGGAUGGGUGACCCCUGAGAACUUCUUGUAUUGCACCCC